AUUGAACGCUGGCGGCAGGCCUAACACAUGCAAGUCGAGCGGAUGAAGGGAGCUUGCUCCUGGAUUCAGCGGCGGACGGGUGAGUAAUGCCUAGGAAUCUGCCUGGUAGUGGGGGAUAACGUCCGGAAACGGGCGCUAAUACCGCAUACGUCCUGAGGGAGAAAGUGGGGGAUCUUCGGACCUCACGCUAUCAGAUGAGCCUAGGUCGGAUUAGCUAGUUGGUGGGGUAAAGGCCUACCAAGGCGACGAUCCGUAACUGGUCUGAGAGGAUGAUCAGUCACACUGGAACUGAGACACGGUCCAGACUCCCACGGGAGGCAGCAGUGGGGAAUAUUGGACAAUGGGCGAAAGCCUGAUCCAGCCAUGCCGCGUGUGUGAAGAAGGUCUUCGGAUUGUAAAGCACUUUAAGUUGGGAGGAAGGGCAGUAAGUUAAUACCUUGCUGUUUUGACGUUACAAACAGAAUAAGCACCGGCUAACUUCGUG
rnacentral:rRNA from 1 species